UACGUAGGGAGCAAGCGUUAUCCGGAUUUAUUGGGUUUAAAGGGUGCGUAGGCGGGACCUUAAGUCAGCGGUAAAAUUGCGGUGCUCAACGCCGUAGAGCCGUUGAAACUGGGGUUCUUGAGUGAGCGAGAAGUAUGCGGAAUGCGUGGUGUAGCGGUGAAAUGCAUAGAUAUCACGCAGAACCCCGAUUGCGAAGGCAGCAUACCGGCGCCCUACUGACGCUGAGGCACGAAAGUGCGGGUAUCGAACAGG
rnacentral:rRNA from 1 species